GACAGAGGAUGCAAGCGUUAUCCGGAAUGAUUGGGCGUAAAGCGUCUGUAGGUGGCUUUUAAGUCCGCCGUCAAAUCCCAGGGCUCAACCCUGGACAGGCGGUGGAAACUACCAAGCUGGAGUACGGUAGGGGCAGAGGGAAUUUCCGGUGGAGCGGUGAAAUGCGUAGAGAUCCGGAAGAACACCGGUGGCGAAGGCGGUGAGCUGGGCAGUAGCUGACACUGAGAGACGAAAGCUAGGGGAGCGAAUGGG
rnacentral:rRNA from 1 species